rnacentral:rRNA from 1 species
GAUGAACGCUGGCGGCGUGCCUAAUACAUGCAAGUCGAGCGAACAGACGAGGAGCUUGCUCCUCUGACGUUAGCGGCGGACGGGUGAGUAACACGUGGAUAACCUACCUAUAAGACUGGGAUAACUUCGGGAAACCGGAGCAAAUACCGGAUAAUAUAUUGAAAGGCAUGGUUCAAUAGUGAAAGACGGGUUUGCUGUCACUUAUAGAUGGAACCGCGCCGCAUUAGCAAGUUGGUAAGGUAAAGGCUUACCAAGGCAACGAUGCGUAGCCGACCUGAGAGGGUGUUCGGCCACACUGUAGCUGCAGCACUGCCCGGACUCCUACGGGAGUCAUCCGUAGCGACUCUUCCACCCUGGUCGAAGGCUUGACGGGGCAACGCCGCGUGAGUGCUCUGGGGCUUCGGUUCGUAAAACUCUGUUAUUGUGGAAGUCCUAAUGUGUAAGUAACUAUGCACGACUUGUCGGUCCCUAAUCAGAAAGCCUCCGCUAACUACGUG